rnacentral:misc_RNA from 1 species
AUAAGCAAAUAUAGAGUAGAAUGGGUAAUUUGUUACCUUAUUUAGGAGACUCAAACGAAAUAUAUGAACCAAAUAGAACGCUAAUGAUUAAGUUGUUCCCCUGACACUACAAUCAUGUUCCAAUUUUUCUUGGUCACUACUUGGGUGAAAUACAAAGGGAGAACAGAGAAGUUAACUCUGAAGAAAAUACAAUUCGUCUCGUUGAGACAACGGUGCAACAAGCACCAAAAUUAUAGUCAACUCUUCCGGGAAAGGAGUAUAGGUCUCAGCAUCACACAACAUUCAUUUACUGAAAAACUCCCUUAGAAUUUAUUUUUUCCUGUUUGUCUGGCUGAACGCGGCUGUACUCCAGAAAUCUUGUAAAAGAAGCUGAAAUGAACUUUUAAAUAAGAUCCAAAUUGUGUUCAUUGCUUAGACCACUGAACCUCAUGGAUAAGAUUCAGGAGACAUUUUUUCACUAACUGUUGAUCCAUAAUUUGGUCCACCUUUACGAUACUGGAUAAGAAAUUCAACUGGAUAUCCCUUCACCUUGUGUGGCGCAAGCCCUAGAUCUUCAAAAGUCAAAGCAUCUUUUGACACAACGUUGUCCGUGGCCAAGGCUUUAAUCGCAUCUAGAUUAAAUAUUGUAGGGACAGGCAUUGGAGUUGGUACUUUGUUGAGCAAAAAUUCUCGAGGAGAUGCAAUAGCCUUAGCAAUAGGGAAAGGAACAUUCACAUAGCGUGGCCAUUCACGGAUCAUAUCAAACAUGAGCUCUGCCAAAUCAUGCAUAGUGUAAAUAUCUGGGCCACCAAGUUCAUAAACUUUUCCCAUGCUGGUGCCAUUGUCUUUCAAAGAAGAAACAAUUGCAGAAGCAACAUCAGCAACGAAUACAGGUUGAAUUUUUGUUGAACCACCUCCGAUUAGAGGGAGAAAACCAUAUUUCUUUGCAAAGAAUGCCCAUGGAUUCAGAAUUCUAUCUUCUGUACCGAUCAUUACUGAUGGUCGCAAUAUGGUUGCCUCAGGAAGUUCACGUGUAACAGCUUCUUCCCCUGCAGCUUUGGCUCUGAGCAGUCUAGAUGAGGAUGCAGGAGAUGCCCCCAAGCUUGAAACUUGAAUAAAUCUCAUGAU